rnacentral:rRNA from 1 species
AGUGAACGCUGGCGGUAGGCCUAACACAUGCAAGUCGAACGGCAGCACAGUAAGAGCUUGCUCUUACGGGUGGCGAGUGGCGGACGGGUGAGGAAUACAUCGGAAUCUACUUUUUCGUGGGGGAUAACGUAGGGAAACUUACGCUAAUACCGCAUACGACCUACGGGUGAAAGCAGGGGAUCUUCGGACCUUGCGCGAUUGAAUGAGCCGAUGUCGGAUUAGCUAGUUGGCGGGGUAAAGGCCCACCAAGGCGACGAUCCGUAGCUGGUCUGAGAGGAUGAUCAGCCACACUGGAACUGAGACACGGUCCAGACUCCUACGGGAGGCAGCAGUGGGGAAUAUUGGACAAUGGGCGCAAGCCUGAUCCAGCCAUACCGCGUGGGUGAAGAAGGCCUUCGGGUUGUAAAGCCCUUUUGUUGGGAAAGAAAAGCAGCAGGUUGAUACCCCGCUGUUCUGACGGUACCAAAAGAAUAAGCACCGGCUAACUUCGUG